AUGGGCACUGGAGGAGGGGGCGCCCUCCAGCUGCCAGCCGCACCCCUCCCAGCCCCGUGGCCGCCCCGCUGCCCAACGCAGAGGCAGCCAAGGCCGCUCCAGACCCCCCGGGGUCCCCUGAAGUCCUGUCCUGCAGGCCGCACACACCCUUGGCGCCCCAUGAGUGCAUGGCCUCCUCAGCGCCUGCAGCCCGGGGUCCAGGCCCCUCCUCCCUGCGCAGAGGGCGCCCCCUCUUCUGGCCCUGGCCCUUGGCCUCCAGGAAGGGGCCGUGGGAGGUGGUGGAGGGGUCCGGUGGCUCCGCGGGCCUUGGGAGCCUGGCCUGACACAGGAGCUGGCAAGCGCCAGGCAUUGGGACUAGGAGCAGCCUCUCCUCCCGGGGGGCGGGGGCAGGGGCUGUUCCCAAUCAGAGCAGCGGCUGCCCCUGCGGCCGGGUGCCUUGGAUGGCCACUCACCUACCAGCUGGAGCUCCCAUCGCAGCCGCCCCCUCCAUCUCCCUCUCCCUCUCCCCCUCCAGCUCCGCGGGUCCCAGGCCAUGCGGGCCGCGCGUGCCCAAACCCGCGGCCGGGCGGGGGUAGGAUUGGCCAGGUGCCCUGCACCAGCAUGGAGGUGCUGGGCGCCCCGGUGCCCAGCAAAGCUGGAGAGGCCACGGUGAAGUAUCAGCUGUGCUACCACAUGACGGCCAAGAUGUGGUGGAUGGUGAGUGGGCACCGGGCCCAUGUGGGCCGGCAUUGUGGCCCUGUGGCCGGCUCAGCUGGGCGUCUGAGGCCCCGGGGGGGGAUGUCUGUGGGCAGGCGGCCCCCGGGGGCUCCAGGCAGGGCCAGGGGCGGCUGCAUGGAGCAGGGCUGGGGCAGCUCGCUAAGCUUGGCGCCCUUCCAGAAGCUUCUAGGGACCCACGCCCCCGGCCAUUUGGGCUGGGACCACGAGAUGGGAGAGGGAGAGAUUCCGGGUCGGGCGGGGGCCGUGGGGCUAGGCUGGGGGUCGGGAGAGGCCCAGGCUGUCAACCCAGGGACUCGGAGCCUGCGGCCGGGGGCCAGGUCUCGUCCCCCUUUGGGAAGCGGCCUGGGUCUCACGGCCGUGGCUCCAGGGCCCUGUCCCCUGCAGCUGCUGGGAGGGGGUGGGGGUCCCCAGUCCCUGGUGCCGAGUUCUGGGGUCAGCUGCAGCUCUUGGUCUCCCCUUGGCCAGCAUUUAUCAUGUGCCUACUGUAUCCCCACGCCGUCUUGGGUGCUCAAGAGAAGGGCAGGUGUGGGCAGCGGGUGGCAGGGUCCCGCAUGGGCCUGGGUGGCCACAGAGCGGAGUCCCGGCAGCUGGCAAAAUGGACAUAAAGAAAAGGGGGCUGAGGAUAGGGCCGAUGCAAAGGCCCUGGGGCAGCACAGAGCCAGGAGGCCGGCGUGGUUGGAGUAG
rnacentral:lncRNA from 1 species